AAUUUACUGUCUUAUAUAUGUGUAUGAUCAUUAUUUCUUUGCUUUUUCUUGGCAGCAAGUCACUGGAUCUGCACACAUGGUCAAACACAAACCAAUUGACAUGUCUUGUACCAUUUAACCUUUCCUCAUUUCCCCUUUGGAAUAUUUUUUAUUAAACAUUAUUGCAGCUAUUAAUUUUAUAUCUGGUGCCUCAUUCUUCUUUUCCGUUUUUCUUUGUCCUGACCCCCCCCCCCCCACCAAGGAGCCAAAUCUUUUACUAUCUCUGGUUUGUUUUGAUUUUUCUCUUCACUUUUUAUUUUAAUCUGUCCCC